rnacentral:rRNA from 1 species
GCAGCAGUGGGGAAUUUUGGACAAUGGGCGCAAGCCUGAUCCAGCAAUGCCGCGUGCAGGAAGAAGGCCUUCGGGUUGUAAACUGCUUUUGUCAGGGAAGAAAUCCUCUGGGUUAAUACCUCGGGGGGAUGACGGUACCUGAAGAAUAAGCACCGGCUAACUACGUGCCAGCAGCCGCGGUAAUACGUAGGGUGCGAGCGUUAAUCGGAAUUACUGGGCGUAAAGCGUGCGCAGGCGGCUUUGCAAGACAGAUGUGAAAUCCCCGGGCUCAACCUGGGAACUGCAUUUGUGACUGCAAGGCUAGAGUACGGUAGAGGGGGAUGGAAUUCCGCGUGUAGCAGUGAAAUGCGUAGAUAUGCGGAGGAACACCAAUGGCGAAGGCAAUCCCCUGGACCUGUACUGACGCUCAUGCACGAAAGCGUGGGGAGCAAACAGGAUUAGAUACCCUGGUAGUCCACGCCCUAAACGAUGUCAACUGGUUGUUGGACGGCUUGCUGUUCAGUAACGAAGCUAACGCGUGAAGUGACCGC